UUCGAUUUGAAAAGCCCUCUGGUUACUGUUCUGUUAUCAUACGCUGAGGUUUGUGACGUUAAUUGCUAUAAGAUUGAGUUUUGGUUGUUAUGUGUUGCGAUUAGAGUUGCUAUGGCUACUGCGAAAGUGACUUGGAGCCGAGGUUUUGGUUGUUGAUUUCGGGUUGAGGCGAAAAGGACUCUGUGACGCGUUUGGGUUAUGGUUAUGCGUUUUGAGGUAGGGGCUUUUGUACAAACUAGUUUUAUUU
rnacentral:lncRNA from 1 species